GAUGAACGCUAGCGACAGGCUUAACACAUGCAAGUCGCGGGACAGGCGCACGGGUGAGUAACGCGUAUCCCACCUGCCCUUCACCACGGGAUAACCCGGCGAAAGUCGGACUAAUACCGUAUGGUGAAGGAUGAGGCGGCGUUCGAUUAGCUUGACGGCGGGGUAACGGCCCACCGUGGCUACGAUCGGUAGGGGGUCUGAGGGGAAGGUCCCCCACACUGGAACUGAGACACGGUCCAGACUCCUACGGGAGGCAGCAGUGAGGAAUAUUGGGCAAUGGGCGUAAGCCUGAACCAGCCAAGUAGCGUGAAGGACGACGGCCUAUGGGUUGUAAACUGCUUUUAUGCGGGGAUAGGUACCGCAUGAAUAAGGACCGGCUAAUUCCGUGCCAGCAGCCGCGGUAAUUC
rnacentral:rRNA from 1 species